GGGUUAGUGGGUUGUUUACAGUACGUCGCCACCAAUGCUCGCAUCCUGACGCCUUCACCGUACGCGCUAAUAGCAUCCAGACUGAGCACACGACAUACACAUCGGGAGGAAAACUUGCUCGGAAAAACUUCUACGCAGUUCGCAGGAUUUCCUUCGUCGAAUACCACGUUCCUACAGAAGGCCUCCCUCCCCUCUCGCUCUCUGUGGGAAUGGAUCGACGGACGGAAAUAAAUAACAAAAUGCGCACACAGCAGCAUCACUGCACAAUGUGUGAGUGAGAGGAUAGGAUGGAAACCAUUUAGAGAGACAACAACAACAACAA